UCCACGCUAGAAUUGAGUUGUCUAUCUACA
rnacentral:piRNA from 1 species